AACGAACGCUGGCGGCAUGCCUAACACAUGCAAGUCGAACGAGACCUUCGGGUCUAGUGGCGCACGGGUGCGUAACGCGUGGGAACCUGCCCUUAGGUUCGGAAUAACUCUCCGAAAGGGGUGCUAAUACCGGAUAAUGUCUUCGGACCAAAGAUUUAUCGCCUUUGGAUGGGCCCGCGUUGGAUUAGCUAGUUGGUAGGGUAAAAGCCUACCAAGGCGACGAUCCAUAGAUGGUCUGAGAGGAUGAUCAGCCACACUGGGACUGAGACACGGCCCAGACUCCUACGGGAGGCAGCAGUGGGGAAUAUUGGACAGUGGGCGAAAGCCUGAUCCAGCAAUGCCGCGUGAGUGAUGAAGGCCUUAGGGUUGUAAAGCUCUUUUACCCGGGAUGAUAAUGACAGUACCGAGAGAAUAAGCUCCGGCUAACUCCGUG
rnacentral:rRNA from 1 species